CAAUAGAUAAUAAAUAAUUAUGUUUAAAAAAAUUUAUUAAAGGUUUAUUUUAUAUAUAAAUUAUAGUGUUAAAUUAUUGUUAUUUUAAUAAUAAUAAUAUUAUUAUUAUAGUAAAUAAAAUUAAAAAUUUAAGAAAUUAAGAUUUAGUAAUACAAAAAUUAAUAACAAAUUUUGUGCCAGCAGUUGCGGUUACACAAAAAUUAAAUUGAAUUAUUUCAGUUUAUAAAUAAUAAAUUAAAAUUAAAAUAAAUAUUAAAUUAUUAGGUAAAAUUUUAAUUUAAUUAAAUUUUAUAAUUAAAUUUAUGUUUUAAUAAAUUUUAAAUUAAACUAGGAUUAGAUACCCUAUUAUUAAAAAUUUAAAUUAUAAUACUAAAAUAGUAAAUAAUUAUUUAUUGAAACUUAAAUAAUAUGGCGGUAUUUUAGUUCAUUUAGAGGAAUCUGUUUAAUAAUUGAUAAUCCACGAUUAAAUUUACUUAAUUAAUAAUUUUAUAUAUCGUUGUUAAAAAAAUAUUUUUAAUUAAUAAUAAUAUUUAAAAAUUAAGAUAAAAAAUUAAUUCAGAUCAAGAUGUAGAUUAUAAUUAAGAAUAUAAUGGAUUACAAUGAAAUUAUUUAAAUGGAUAUAUCAUUGAAAAAUGAAAUUGAAGGUGGAUUUAAAUGUAAUUUUAUUUAAUUAAAUAAAAUGAUUUAAAAUUAAAAUAUGUACAUAUUGCCCGUCACUUUCAUUUUAAAGUUGAAAUAAGUCGUAACAAAGUAGAGGUACUGGAAAGUGUUUCUAGAAAA
rnacentral:ncRNA from 1 species